rnacentral:rRNA from 1 species
CAAUAGCGUAUAUUUAAGUUGUUGCAGUUAAAAAGCUCGUAGUUGGAUUUCGGGUGGGACGCAGCGGUCUCGCAUUGCGUUUGUACUGAUGCAGCCCUCCUUCUUGCCGGGGGCGGCCUCUCGGACUUCACUGUCUGGGGGUCAGAAUCGGCGAUGUUACUUUGAGUAAAUUAGAGUGUUCAAAGCAAGCUUACGCUCUGAAUAUAAUAGCAUGGGAUAACACGACAGGACUCUGGCCUAUCGUGUUGGUCUAUAGGACCAGAGUAAUGAUUAAGAGGGACAGUCGGGGGCAUUCGUAUUCCGUUGUCAGAGGUGAAAUUCUUGGAUUUACGGAAGACGAACAUCUGCGAAAGCAUUUGCCAAGGAUGUUUUCAUUG